rnacentral:tRNA from 1 species
GGAAGGGUGGCCGAGUGGUUGAAGGCGCUCGCCUGGAAAGCGGGUAAACGGAUAAAACUGUUUCGUGGGUUCGAAUCCCAUCCCUUCCGCCA